ACAGAUGGACCCGCGGCGCAUUAGCUAGUUGGUGAGGUAACGGCUCACCAAGGCAACGAUGCGUAGCCGACCUGAGAGGGUGAUCGGCCACACUGGGACUGAGACACGGCCCAGACUCCUACGGGAGGCAGCAGUAGGGAAUCUUCCGCAAUGGACGAAAGUCUGACGGAGCAACGCCGCGUGAGUGAUGAAGGUUUUCGGAUCGUAAAGCUCUGUUGUUAGGGAAGAACAAGUACCGUUCGAAUAGGGCGGUACCUUGACGGUACCUAACCAGAAAGCCACGGCUAACUACGUGCCAGCAGCCGCGGUAAUACGUAGGUGGCAAGCGUUGUUCCGGAAAUUACUGGGCGUAAAGGGCUCGCACGCGGUUUCUUAAGUCU
rnacentral:rRNA from 1 species